rnacentral:rRNA from 1 species
AGAAUCAACGCUGGCGGCGUGCCUCAGACAUGCAAGUCGAACGCGAAAGUUCCCUUCGGGGGCGAGUAGAGUGGCGCACGGGUGAGUAACACGUAGGUAAUCUACCUUCGGAUGGGGAAUAACAACCGGAAACGGUUGCUAAUACCGCAUAAUGCAGCGGCACCUAAUGGUGACAGUUGUUAAAGCGGGGGAUCGAAAGACCUCGCGUCUGAAGAGGAGCCUGCGGCGGAUUAGCUAGGUUGGUAAGGUAAUGGCUUACCAAGGCUACGA